rnacentral:lncRNA from 1 species
UGGGCUAUUAUAAGUUUGUACAAAUCUUCUAAAAACAGGGAUAGCAUUUCUUCUAUAAUGAAACCAUUAUCCAAAACCCAUCUACAAAAACAGCAAAAUAUUCUUUAUUGAAGAAAAAUAAAUCUAGUCCUAGCAGAAGAACCACACAUGACAUGGCUCUGAGAAAUCACAGGUGAAAAACAAAUCAAAUGAAACCGACUCAAAUGGGGAACAAGAAACAACAGGCAUGUACUGGUAUAUAAUAUAUAGAUAUCUACAGUGCAGAAUACAUCCAAAUCAAGUAGUGUUGCAGAAAAAUAAAAUAAUAAAACAUUUCAGCUAACUUUCCCCAUAUUUCCAGGUUCUCCAGGAAUCCUGGUUGGAAGAUGCUCGAUUUCUUCUUGUUCCCUCCAACCUGGAUUUCUGGAGAAUUUGGGAAAAAGUUACUGGAAUUUUGCUACACUAAAUCAUACACAAUUCCAACAGAUACAGGAAUGUUAUGGUCAGGAGAAGGGACAUAACAAUAAUGUGAUUGAUGAUUUUGUAAUGUUUCAUAACCAAGGGAAACAAGGGUUUGGACCAUGGAAAUAAACAACACUCUAGAUAUGUAGAGUGUACCAAUAUGUAUACUGAACAAAAAUAUAAAACGCAACAUGUAAAGUAUUGCUCCCAUGAGCUGAAAUAAAAGAUCCCAGAAAUGUUCCAUACGCACAAAAACCUUUCUCUAAUUUUGUGCACUAAUUUGUUUACAUCCCUGUUAGUGAGCAUUUCUCAUUUGCCAAGGUAAUCCAUUCAACUGACAGGUGUGGCAUAUCAAGAAGCUGAUUAAACAGCAUGAUCAUUACACAUGUGCACCUUGUGCUGGGGACAAUAAAAGGCCACUGUAAAAGUGUGCGGUUUAUCACACAACACAAUGCCACAGAUGUCUCAAGUUGAGGGAGUGUGCAAUUGCCAUGCUGACUGCAGUAAUGUCCACCAGAGCUGUUGCCAGAGAAUGUAAUGUUAAUAUCGCUACCAUAACGUCAUUGUUUACAUGUUGCGUUUAUAUUUUUGUUCAGUUGUGUCACAAUAGAGGAAUAUUUUACAUUCAAACAGAAAUUAGGAGAAUGAAUUAAUGUUCGUCUUUCAUCAAGGCCAUUGGAGAAACAGGACAAGUGAUCAAAUAGAGAGGCGAAACAGAAAGGUGGGGGAGAAAAAUAAGUGAUAUUAACAGGAAGUCACCAAGUGCCUGAAUUUAAGCCUCAGUCAGAUAAAUAACAACGUGAUAUAGUGAAAGCCUCGUCUGUAAUGCAGUAGCUGGAAUCAUACCGGCAUAGCAGACUUUACAAAUCAGGAUUAUAAAUAACAUACAUUGUGUAUACAUUUACACAUGUAAACAUUCUCCACCCUACUCUGACCACCUGACAGGCCACGGCAUAUUUCUGGUUUGAUACAGCAUGCGUGGACGACAUCCUGUUACUCUUUUUGGUUUGACUUGUGCUGAGAGCUACAGUAAGUCCCAAUGAACGCCAAGGAAACUGGAACUCACAGGACAUAAGUCGUGAGAGCUGCUUGCAUAUUUGUUUUUCCUAGGGAGGUUUUUACCGCAGUCACAAAGUCAAUUGUCUAUAUUAUAAAAAUGUUAUUUUUGGUGUUAAUUUAAGGCUAGGCAUAAGGUUAGCAGUGUGGUUAAGGCUAGGCAUAAGGUCAGCAGUGUGGUUAAGGCUAGGCAUAAGGUUAGCAGUGUGGUUAAGGCUAGGCAUAAGGUUAGCAGUGUGGUUAAGGCUAGGCAUAAGGUCAGCAGUGUGGUUAAGGCUAGGCAUAAGGUUAGCAGUGUGGUUAAGGUUAGGCAUAAGGUCAGCAGUGUGGUUAAGGUUAGGCAUAAGCUUAGCAGUGUGGUUAAGGUUAGGUUUAAAAUAACAUUUUAGGAAAAUGAAUUGAAGAAAUGGGCAGGGUUUACGACUUCACGGCUGGGGUAACUAGUAUCUCGCCCCAAAAUCUCAUAGGAAAAACUCAUUUGCGAGCUUCUUAGCUUACACUUCUGGGGCGUGUUCAUUAGGGUACACCAUUGAUAAUAGCUUUGAAAACUUUUGUAACGUAAACAUAAAUUGUUUGUUAUUGGACCAGUACAGUUCAGAGAACACUCGGCACCAUUAGGCUGUACCAGGUCUGCAGCCCUGUUAUAUUUUCUACAAAAUGCCUCUAUACCUUCCUUCCUUCCUAAUUGUUCUGAUUUUACAUGGUCUGUUGACUGAUGUGAUGGAGAGAAAACAACCACAUGACAGACCAGAUAGAAAUCAAGAAAGGACUGAAGGAUGAAUUCAACAGGAUCUGUCUUCAGGGUAACCAGAGGAAUACGGCCCUGUACACUGACCCAGGCAAACAGGAUCUGUCUUCAGGGUAACCAGAGGAAUAUGGCCCUGUACACUGACCCAGGCAAACAGGAUCUGUCUUCAGGGUAACCAGAGGAAUACGGCCCUGUACACUGACCCAGGCAAACAGGAUCUGUCUUCAGGGUAACCAGAGGAAUACGGCCCUGUACAGUGACCCAGGCAAACAGGAUCUGUCUUCAGGGUAACCAGAGGAAUAUGGCCCUGUACACUGACCCAGGCAAACAGGGGAGUCAUUUCAUUGGUUCCUUUUCGCCAGCAGAAUCAUGAUAAACCGGGGAAAGAUUGGUUUUGCUGCAAGCGUUGUACAUAAAAACGGUUGAACAGAUUCAGCAUAUUCAAUAAAACAGCACCAACUCUUUUAUUGUACACAUCGGACAGUCUAACAGAAGUUGUUUUUGGAGACUGACUUCCGCCCUCUUUGAAGCAGAGGCCCUGCCCUCACUGUUUCCUGCCCACUUCCUGGUUACGUCAAUAGAACCCCAGGGCCACGUUCAGCAGCCAAAAUUUUGCAAAUAGAAACACCAGAAAUAGAGCCAACAUGAUUCCUUAUUCUACAGGUCAGAGAGGCAUGUUUGUUCUACAUAGCAUAUUUCUAUCUGAACGUUCCCCAACAUUGCGUCUUGCUGAACGCGCACCCCCAGGGGGAAUGGAUCAUUAUCACUGUGGCAGAUGAAUUGUAAACAACAAGGCUGCGUUCAGCAGCGCACACUGUUGUGGAAUGUUAAGAUAUGUUUUUUGUAGAACUAACAUGCCUCUGACCUGCAGGAUAAGGAAUCAAAGCUCUCUUCAUGAUAUUUAUGUCUGCAACGCUCCACAACGUUUGGUUUGCAUACUGAAUGAGACAAUGACCCGUCUACCCGGCACAACGCCCCUCUACGUACAGCCCGUCUUCCCGGCACAACGCCCCUCUACGUACAGCCCGUCUUCCCGGC